AUUGAACGCUGGCGGCAGGCCUAACACAUGCAAGUCGAACGGUAACAGGAAACAGCUUGCUGUUUCGCUGACGAGUGGCGGACGGGUGAGUAAUGUCUGGGAAACUGCCUGAUGGAGGGGGAUAACUACUGGAAACGGUAGCUAAUACCGCAUAACGUCGCAAGACCAAAGAGGGGGACCCUCGGGCCUCUUGCCAUCGGAUGUGCCCAGAUGGGAUUAGCUUGUUGGUGGGGUAACGGCUCACCAAGGCGACGAUCCCUAGCUGGUCUGAGAGGAUGACCAGCCACACUGGAACUGAGACACGGUCCAGACUCCUACGGGAGGCAGCAGUGGGGAAUAUUGCACAAUGGGCGCAAGCCUGAUGCAGCCAUGCCGCGUGUAUGAAGAAGGCCUUCGGGUUGUAAAGUACUUUCAGCGGGGAGGAAGGGAGUAAAGUUAAUACCUUUGCUCAUUGACGUUACCCGCAGAAGAAGCACCGGCUAACUCCGUGCCAGCAGCCGCGGUAAUACGGAGGGUGCAAGCGUUAAUCGGAAUUACUGGGCGUAAAGCGCACGCAGGCGGUUUGUUAAGUCAGAUGUGAAAUCCCCGGGCUCAACCUGGGAACUGCAUCUGAUACUGGCAAGCUUGAGUCUCGUAGAGGGGGGUAGAAUUCCAGGUGUAGCGGUGAAAUGCGUAGAGAUCUGGAGGAAUACCGGUGGCGAAGGCGGCCCCCUGGACGAAGACUGACGCUCAGGUGCGAAAGCGUGGGGAGCAAACAGGAUUAGAUACCCUGGUAGUCCACGCCGUAAACGAUGUCGACUUGGAGGUUGUGCCCUUGAGGCGUGGCUUCCGGAGCUAACGCGUUAAGUCGACCGCCUGGGGAGUACGGCCGCAAGGUUAAAACUCAAAUGAAUUGACGGGGGCCCGCACAAGCGGUGGAGCAUGUGGUUUAAUUCGAUGCAACGCGAAGAACCUUACCUGGUCUUGACAUCCACGGAAGUUUUCAGAGAUGAGAAUGUGCCUUCGGGAACCGUGAGACAGGUGCUGCAUGGCUGUCGUCAGCUCGUGUUGUGAAAUGUUGGGUUAAGUCCCGCAACGAGCGCAACCCUUAUCCUUUGUUGCCAGCGGUCCGGCCGGGAACUCAAAGGAGACUGCCAGUGAUAAACUGGAGGAAGGUGGGGAUGACGUCAAGUCAUCAUGGCCCUUACGACCAGGGCUACACACGUGCUACAAUGGCGCAUACAAAGAGAAGCGACCUCGCGAGAGCAAGCGGACCUCAUAAAGUGCGUCGUAGUCCGGAUUGGAGUCUGCAACUCGACUCCAUGAAGUCGGAAUCGCUAGUAAUCGUGGAUCAGAAUGCCACGGUGAAUACGUUCCCGGGCCU
rnacentral:rRNA from 1 species